rnacentral:rRNA from 1 species
AUGAAAUUAAAAUUAUUAAAUAUAAUUUUAUCAAUAAUAAAUAAACUUAAUAAUAAUAAUAAUAUUAUUAUUAAUAAUCUAUUAGAUUCAUUAAUAAAUAAGAAAUUAUUAUUAAAGAAUAUAUUAUUAGAUAUAAAUAAUAAAAAAAUAAAUAAUAUAAAAAGAAUAUUAAAUAAUAAUAAUAUAAAUAUUAAUAAUAAAUUACAACAUUUAAAUAAUAUAAAUAAUUGAAAUCUACAAAUUUAUAAUUAUAAUAAAAAUAUAGAAAUUAUAAAUACUAUAAAUGAUAAAUUAAUUAAUAAAUUAUUAUAUAAAAUAAUAACUUUAAAAUUAAAUAAUAUAAACCCCGCGGGACCAAUCCGGUGAACAACCGGAUUGGCGCCCGCGGGGAAUAUUAAUAAAAUUAUUAUAAGUAAACUUAUUAAUCAACAUAGUUUAAAUAAAUUAAAUAUUAAAUUUUAUUAUUAUAAUAAUGAUAUUAAUAAUAAUAAUAAUAAUAAUAAUAAUAAUUAUUAUAUAAAUAUAAUAAAUAAAUUAAUAAAUAUUAUAAAUAAUAAUAUAAAUAAUAAUUUAUGUAAUAUUUUAAGUUAUUAUUAUAAUAAAAAAGUAACUAUUGAACCUAUUAAAUUAUCAUAUAUUUAUUUAAAUAGUGAUAUUUUUAGUAAAUAUAUUAGUUUAAAUGAUAUAGAUAAAUAUAAUAAUGGUAUCUUAACUAAUUAUCAACGUAUAUUAAAUAAUAUUAUGCCUAAAUUAAAUGAUCAUAAUAUUUCUAUAAAUUAUAUUAAUAAUAUUAAUAAUAUUAAUAAUAAUAAAUAUAAUAAUAUAAUUAAUUUAUUAAAUAAUAAUAAUAAUAUUAAUAAUUAUAAUAAUUAUAAUAAUUAUAAUAAUAAUAAUAAUAAUAAUAAUUAUAUUGGUAAUAUUAAUAAUAUUUAUAAUAAUAUAACUAUUGAUAAUAUUCCUAUAGAUAUUUUAAUAUAUAAAUAUUUAGUUGGUUGAUCUAUUAAAUUUAAAGGUAGAUUAAGUAAUAAUAAUGGUAGAACUAGUACACUUAAUUUAUUAAAUGGUACUUUUAAUAAUAAAAAAUAUUUAUGAAGUAAUAUUAAUAAUAAUUAUAAAUUAAAUUAUAUCCCUUCUAAUCAUAAUUUAUAUAAUAAUUCUAAUAUUAAUAAAAAUGGUAAAUAUAAUAUUAAAGUUAAAUUAAACUUUAUUUAA